AUGAACUUGAGAGUUUGAUCCUGGCUCAGAGCGAACGCUGGCGGCAUGCUUAACACAUGCAAGUCGCACGGGCGGUUUUCGGAUCGUCAGUGGCGGA
rnacentral:rRNA from 1 species